rnacentral:rRNA from 1 species
UUGUUCGCAAUGGGCGCAAGCCUGACGACGCAACGCCGCGUGGAGGAUGAAGGUCUUCGGAUUGUAAACUCCUGUUGAUCGGGAAGAAUAGCCCCCGGAUGAAUACUCCGGGGGAAUGACGGUACCGAUUGAGGAAGCCACGGCUAACUCUGUGCCAGCAGCCGCGGUAAUACAGAGGGUGCGAGCGUUGUCCGGAAUCACUGGGCGUAAAGGGCGCGUAGGCGGCUUUUCAAGCGUGCGGUGAAAGCUCGGGGCUUAACUCCGAGUCUGCCGUGCGAACUGGGAGGCUUGAGUCUGGUAGAGGUCGAUGGAAUUCCGGGUGUAGCGGUGGAAUGCGUAGAGAUCCGGAAGAACACCGGUGGCGAAGGCGGUCGACUGGGCCAGUACUGACGCUGAGGCGCGACAGCGUGGGGAGCAAAC